GGGAAGAAGGGAAGGGAGAGGGUGUGGAAACUAGUCGUGGGCACUUAUGAGGGGAGAGAGAAAAUUAGUAAGAGGGAAGAAGAGAGAGCGAUCACUUGUGACCGCUCUUCUCACGCCAAGUCUUGGACAAAAGGAUUAUGAGUCGGUCUUCCCAGUCAUUAUUUCAGAUAAACAUUUGGGAAGUAUAAGCAUUCAGGAUUCUCUACUAAAUACAGCCGCUGCUGCUUUACAUCUUGGGACACUGGCCCCAGAGCACUCACCGCCUCAAGCUGUAGUCACCUCGUGUGUUGAGAUGUCAGCCCAUCUACUCAUUUUGUAACAUCUGUGCUAGACUUCUUGUGAUUCACAAGAGUUCAGAAGACAAACGUCAUAACAAGAUCUUGGGCUUCAUUGUCUUUGGUCCGGGAAACGUUCUUGGAACUAGUGAGCUUCCAAAGCUUAACGUUCAACUGAUGUUUUUUUUUUCUUCUUGUGAUGUUGAUCGGACAACGGUAGCCAAAAGUAUUACGGUUUCAGUUGUGUGUUGUGUGUCUAGUUUACAUAAAGCAAUUCUGUACAUGACAAUGGGAAAACAACAGCAUAUUCUUGAUUGUGUGGCAGACAAUCACUGAUAGAAAUUUCGUGAGCGCCAACUCAGCUCAGAGUACUAUGUCUUUCUUUUGUAUGGAUUAAACAGAUAAUAACAAAAUUGUGAACACCAAAAAUAAAGUUUACAUUAAAAAAGAAAAACAGUUUAUACUUUGCAAACAGUUUUGGCUGAAAAACACCAGAGUGAUCUUCUCCCUACCAAAGCGUGUGAACCACGAUUCACGUCAAAACAUUUCAUUUUUAAACAGUCAGGGAUUUUCAUCGUGUGACAUGUACAACUUUACAGCACAUUGCAGGCAAAUGGAAUUUGAAUCUGUGAUUCUCUGAGACCGGCAGAGAGAAGAACAACAUAAAUCAUACUUAUCCUAAUUUAGUAAACUCUGAGUUUUCAAGACUGUGUGAAUUGUUCGUAAAACAUGUCAAGCUUUUAACUCUUCCUUAUGUGAACGACACAAUGAUUGCAAAUCAAUAAUUUGUGCUAUUUGUGGUUUCAACGAGUUCGUGAAACAUCAUUCAUAAGCUAAUCAUUUCACGAACAAAUGGAGGCAGAUUAUAUUUUAUCUGUUUGUAGUACUGCAGCAUUCUAAUAUUUGAUACACAAUAUUGUUCGUAAUCCGUUUUUGAUUGCCAUUAUUGUAACGUUGCUGUAUUAUGGCCUCACGUGGUGUAAUUGAUCAUCUUUGCUAGAUCUAGAAUGAGAAGGCAUGCGUCAGUGACGUGCAGACACAAAUCUCUAUUGAUUCUUUUAAAUAUAAUACUGUGAAACUUUCGUAAUUUUAGACUCGAAGAAAAAGCAACAACUUACGUGUGCUUGCGCCUAAGGCAACAGAAUUUCGAGGAUAACUGAUCUCCUGCUUCCUGUUAGACUGAAUAAUUGUCCUACACCAUCGCAGAGCCUGCAGUUCCAGGCCCUGAUUAAACAGACAGGUACUGGACUACCAUCGUAUCCAAGGGAAAAUCCUGGCCAAAAUCACCAUCUGAACAGAUUACUGGUGAGUAUAAAGUCGUAUUGAAAUAACAGACAAUACUAAUGGAUCAAUUAUCUUUAUUUGAAAUAGCUGACGGGAAAAUAUUAAUUGUUUUUUUUAUUGUAAUAAUUAUUAGAUGCCCCCAUCUACACAAUUUAUGCCAUUUGGAGGUGAGCUUCUUCCACUCUAUAAUAUAUCACGGCCAACUUGGGCUGAGAAUGAUACAUGUACAAUGUCCCAGUGGAUAGCUGAAGAUACUACGAAUAUAAAAAAGAUAAUUUCGGCUUUCAGAAAUGGAUCUCAUGUCUUUUGGGUGCAGCGACGAAGAGCCUAACAGUAAAACCAUUGACAACGGUAUUUAUUUGCCUCUUAAACUAUUUGUGUUACGACGUGGUGGAAUUAGGCGCUCGUCAGUUUUUGGGCAUGUGGAGUUUUUGAUAUAGUCUUCAAAUCAGUCUUACUUUUGAUUAAAAAAACUACCUUUCUAUCUUGAGAAGACGUUUAUCAAUAUUUAUGAUUGAAGUAGGUGGGGGUUGCGUGGUGUCAAAGGUAAAAGUAGCAAGAAAAUGGCCGACAAAAUUGGGUCACUUACAGAGCUGUAGUGACAUAGGAAACUACAAAUGUGUAUUUUUU
rnacentral:lncRNA from 1 species